CCUACGGGAGGCAGCAGUGGGGAAUAUUGGACAAUGGGCGAAAGCCUGAUCCAGCCAUGCCGCGUGUGUGAAGAAGGUCUUCGGAUUGUAAAGCACUUUAAGUUGGGAGGAAGGGCAGUAAAUUAAUACUUUGCUGUUUUGACGUUACCGACAGAAUAAGCACCGGCUAACUCUGUGCCAGCAGCCGCGGUAAUACAGAGGGUGCAAGCGUUAAUCGGAAUUACUGGGCGUAAAGCGCGCGUAGGUGGUUCGUUAAGUUGGAUGUGAAAUCCCCGGGCUCAACCUGGGAACUGCAUUCAAAACUGACGAGCUAGAGUAUGGUAGAGGGUGGUGGAAUUUCCUGUGUAGCGGUGAAAUGCGUAGAUAUAGGAAGGAACACCAGUGGCGAAGGCGACCACCUGGACUGAUACUGACACUGAGGUGCGAAAGCGUGGGGAGCAAACAGGAUUAGAUCCCCUUGUAGU
rnacentral:rRNA from 1 species